rnacentral:rRNA from 1 species
CCCUUAGAUGUUCUGGGCUGCACGCGCACUACACUGAUGCACUCAACGAGUUUACGACCUUGCCCGAUAGGGUUGGGUAAUCUUUUUAAAAUGCAUCGUGAUGGGGAUAGAUUAUUGCAAUUAUUAAUCUUCAACGAGGAAUUCCUAGUAAGCGCGAGUCAUCAGCUCGUGCUGAUUACGUCCCUGCCCUUUGUACACACCGCCCGUCGCUACUACCGAUUGGACGGUUUAGCGAGGCCCUCGGAUCGGUACCAGGACUCCGUCAGGAGUGACUGGCAACCGAGAAGGCGGUCGAACUUGACCGUCUAGAGGAAGUAAAAGUCGUAACA